UCUCACUGUUUCCUGUUUGCUCUCUGUCUUUUGUGGCACCUUUACUCUCUGCUCCGUGUCUGCACACCUGUUCCUCGUUUAAUUAGUUGUAUUUAGUUCCACCUGAGUCCCUCCUUCACUGCUUCAUCAUUAUUCUUUUUUGACGGAUGUGGAUCGGACGGGUUUUAUUCGCACGCUACAACAGUACACAAGUCUUACACAAUGUGUUAUGGGUCACGUUCCUGCUUCUCCUCCUGCUGUGCGGACUGAGUGCAUGGCGGAGCACAUCAACAGGUGUUCCCUCUCCGCUGCGGGUGUGCCUCUGCAAGAGAUCUGCAAUCAACACACCUGCCGGUGAUGAGCAACCAGGCUUCAUAAGCCAGCGCGUCUUAAGAUCCGGUGCCAGAACGUAGUUUCUCCUACCAGUAAACUUCCUCUUCGUCUACCUGGACCCACUUUGGAUUCCCUCUUGCCUCCCUGGACCAAGACCUCGCUCCUGCCUUCUGACGUCCAAGCCUUUUUCUUCUUUUGGACUUCCACCUCUAUCUCAACACGCACACUCAACACCCUCUGGUGACCACGCUCAGAUAAUACUUACACAUAGUCACACUCCAUCUCUUUAAGGUAAUCACACACUGCACUCACAUACUGAGUUGUCAAUAAACACGCUGGCAGCUAA